UUGUUGUUCUCGGUCCUUCUCGCUCCUUGCAGCUUGCUUUUUCUCGUCUUUUCUCGUAGUUUCUCGCGCUCACUCCCGCAGCUUGCUUUUUCUCGUCUUUUCUCGUAGUUUCUCGCGCUCACUCCCGGAGUCCAAGUUCCUCUCAAUUCAUCAUCAGCUCCAGAACAAGCCCAGAUCUCAGUCUACCUGACGCACUGCUUCAUCCCCUGGCCGCCCGCUCUCAGCCGCUCACCAAUCAACAUCCAUUCCUGCUCCUCCACCUCUGGACAAUCAAUACCUGACCUUUGGAUCUCCUCAGCUCACCCGGACCAGACAAUCCUUCCCGUACAAUUACCACUACCAAGUAACAAAUCUCAUCCUGGAUUCCUGCUGCCAGUCCUGCAUCUCGUCGGUUCCCGUCUCUUACUUUUCUCCUUAUUUAGUAAUAAAAACCUUUUUACUGACA